AGAAACAAAAGAAAAAGAUGAAGCUUCAAGGUAGCGAAAGUGUACCAAGACUCCAUCACAGCCAUUUGGCCAUCUAAAUAUAAGGUCGACCAGUGCCUUCACUCCUCCAGCCUGAGCAAUAGCAUUCUAAUAGAGAAAACAACAAAAAAUGAGUCCUAAAAAAUCAA
rnacentral:sRNA from 1 species